ACUAGUGUUAGCCACCCAACAAGGGAAAAGCUCAUUUCAGUCUCUUGAAUCCACUCCUGGAGCCAGGGCUGGGAGGGCAGCUCAAGGGCGAAUGACAAACCAAAGACAAAGGGCAAGAUGAAAAACAAAUUGACUGUAAAACUGAAUUUGACUCAACACUACCUUGUUAGGGUGGUAAGACAGAAAACAAAACACCUCCCACACUUGGCCGCCAGUGAGGAGAACAAUCAUGCUGUCAGUCUGAACACAGUUUAAUGCUGUUUAACAAGUGAGAUGUCAAAUAUCAACACUGGUCAAAAUGCUUGCAGUGCGCCAGCUUCGAAUGGGACUUCUGAUUAUGCAGCGCUAACUGUUCGCUAACUGGUGAAGAUUGUUUGGGAUCUACUCGUCACCACAGUUGGCAGAGGUUGGAAGACAUAAAAGGAGUUUUGAGGUGAUGUACUCUAUCGAUGCACAACAGGUUUUGGCUUCCCCCAUUGUAUGUGGGUGCACUUGGCACCAGGUGCAUCACUGUCGCAGUAAGACUCUUUUUGUCAGGUGUGGUGUGCACUAAACAGAAAGUGUUGGCUGG